UGUGGUGGUGGGCCUCCGUGGGCCUCCGUCUGGCUUGCACAGAGGUGGGAUGAUGAUGGCGUGUGCACCUCAUGUCCUCCUCCAUCUGUCACCUGGCAGUGAUGGGCACAGGUUGCCGGCAGUUAAUUUAAUUAAAGAUCCUGUCCUGGAUGUGAUGGCGUUUCAUAUCUCACUGGCUUAACGGAGCUCAGCUCGAGUGGCUCUGGGGUUGUGGAACCUCUGGGAAGGAACUGAAGGCUGCAGACACAAGGUGGGUCACCGUCAUCAGCCCUUGGACCCCAUGAGACACUACAGGAUCGUCACUGCCCAGUGCACACUCUUGUCACCAUAACAUGGCUUGCCUUCUCACUUUAACCU